AUUGAACGCUGGCGGCAUGCCUUACACAUGCAAGUCGAACGGUAACAGGUUAAGCUGACGAGUGGCGAACGGGUGAGUAAUAUAUCGGAACGUGCCCAGUCGUGGGGGAUAACGUAGCGAAAGCUACGCUAAUACCGCAUACGAUCUACGGAUGAAAGCGGGGGAUCGCAAGACCUCGCGCGAUUGGAGCGGCCGAUAGCAGAUUAGGUUGUUGGUGAGGUAAAAGCUCACCAAGCCUGCGAUCUGUAGCUGGUCUGAGAGGACGACCAGCCACACUGGAACUGAGACACGGUCCAGACUCCUACGGGAGGCAGCAGUGGGGAAUUUUGGACAAUGGACGCAAGUCUGAUCCAGCAAUGCCGCGUGCAGGACGAAGGCCUUCGGGUUGUAAACUGCUUUUGUACGGAACGAAACGGUGAGCUCUAAUACAGUUUGCUAAUGACGGUACCGUAAGAAUAAGCACCGGCUAACUACGUGCCAGCAGCAGCCGCAG
rnacentral:rRNA from 1 species